UUUUUUUUUUCUGUGACAAGGCAUUGGCUGGGCCCUGGGGCUCUUGGAGCUCUCUCUGCUCCAAAAAACAGGGAUGUUUUUUGGAGACCACGCUAUGGAACAUACUCAGCCCAGGGCAGUGUAGACAGGACUCCUGGGAGCUUUUAAAUGCCUUGGCCAACCUUACUGGAUGUGGGAAGGAAGACACUUGGGUGCAGAGAGGUACUGAAGGCUCCUAGGAAGCAGAGCAGAAGAAUACCUUAUGCUGUGGGGACACAAUCACUGGAAUCUCUGAAAAGUGUCACGCAGCUGCUUUGGGGAAAGUGGAGCUCCCACCUCAAGGCUGUGGCUGAUUUUGGGUGCUGGCAAGGGAACACUUCAGCAGUGAAGUGCCAUACUCUGCUGAACAAACUUGGCAUCUCAUCAAGCUGACUUAUUUGCGUGAAGCCUGGAAUCAAGGGGAAGCAAGUGGCAGCAGGGGAUUUUGCCAUAAUCCUGAGAUUAGUUCCCAGCCCCAAGACUGGAGUUGAGUUUUGGUGCUGGGCAAUCCAAGCAGCAACAAGCCAACAACAUGAGAGGGAAGAGACUGGAUCCUCUUAAGCCAAGGGGAAAUUUCUGUACUCUGGGAGGACCGGUUGAUGUAAUGGUGCAGAGAUCCACCAAAAGGGGAGGAGGAGGAUGGACUCCUGUUGUCUCUACCAGGAUGGAGGGAGCUGUGAUUGGU